GCGCCGGUGGUGUAAUGGCGUAGAGCAUUCCCGCCGGUUAGAGGGAGGUGCGGGUUCGAGUCCCGCCUGGCGCU
rnacentral:tRNA from 1 species